GGUAAGGGACUGCAAUGAGGGUUCUUGGUAGUAUGAAGCUCCUCAGAUGGAGUUUGAGCCUUUAUACUUGAAGGUGCUACAGGAAGUAAUAAAGGGGAUUGCACUGGAGUUUCUGAUGUCGAGCAGCCUUGGCAAACAUACUCGCUGUGCAUCUUUCCAGAGGGAGUCCUAAAAUAUGCACCCAGAAGUCGCAUGUGGUGAAAUCAUAGCAGUGCAGAGGCGUAGUAGGAAGCCAAGGUUUUAGUAUCAGAAGAUGGUGCCCAAACAGCCAAUGGCCACUAUCGUUUCCGGCGGUAUUUCGUCAUCCCAGACAUCCACAUCUUCUUCCGACCAGAGUCGGCCAAGUCGAUUACAUAGGGCGGCAAGACGAGCAUCGUCCGAAGGGUGAGAUGAAGUCAUAACGGAAACUGUCUAGAGAUGGCGGAGAAAUCCACAUGCAAAGCCCCGAUGAAAUGAAACAGAAGAAAACCCCAUCACUUGACUGCCAGGGAAAGCGAGAAA